rnacentral:rRNA from 1 species
AGCGAACGCUGGCGGCAGGCCUAACACAUGCAAGUCGAACGGAGUGGCGGACGGGUGAGUAACACGUGGGAACGUGCCCUUUGGUUCGGAACAACUCAGGGAAACUUGAGCUAAUACCGGAUGCCAUUGGAGCGGCCCGCGUGUGAUUAGCUAGUUGGUGAGGUAAAGGCGCACCAAGGCGAAGAUCAUUAGCUGGUCUGCGAGGAUGGUCAGCCACAUUGGGACUGGGACACGGCCCAAACUCCUACGGGAGGCAGGAGUGGGGAAUCUUGCGCAAGGGGCGAAAGCCUGACGCAGACAUGCCGAGUGAAUGAUGAAGGUCUUAGGAUUGUAAAAGUCUUUCACCGGGGAAGCGGAACCCGGAGAAGAAGCCCCGGCUAACUUCGUGCCAGCAGCCGCGGUAAUUC